UACGUAGGUGGCAAGCGUUGUCCGGAAUUAUUGGGCGUAAAGGGCUCGCAGGCGGUCUUCUAAGUCUGAUGUGAAAUCUUGCGGCUUAACCGUAAGCGGUCAUUGGAAACUGGAGGACUUGAGUACAGAAGAGGAGAGUGGAAUUCCACGUGGAGCGGUGAAAUGCGUAGAGAUCCGGAGGAACACCGACGGCGUAGGCAGCGCCCUGGACGACACCUGACGCUGAGGCACGAAAGCUGGGGGAGCGAACAGG
rnacentral:rRNA from 1 species